rnacentral:rRNA from 1 species
UAUUCUUUAUAGCUUGCUAUGAUAGAAAUUAGUGGCAGACGGGUGAGUAAUGCAUAGGAAUCUACCUAGUAGUAUGGGAUAGCCACUAGAAAUGGUGGGUAAUACUGUAUAAUCCCUGCGGGGGAAAGAUUUAUCGCUAUUAGAUGAGCCUAUGUUAGAUUAGCUAGUUGGUAGGGUAAAGGCCUACCAAGGCAGUGAUCUAUAGCUGGUCUGAGAGGAUGAUCAGCCACACUGGAACUGAGAUACGGUCCAGACUCCUACGGGAGGCAGCAGUGGGGAAUAUUGGACAAUGGGCGCAAGCCUGAUCCAGCUAAGCCGCGUGAGUGAGGAGGGCCUUAGG